AAUAGAUACCCUGGUAGUCCAUGCCGUAAACGUUGGGCACUAGGUGUGGGGCUCAUUCCACGAGUUCCGUGCCGCAGCAAACGCAUUAAGUGCCCCGCCUGGGGAGUACGGCCGCAAGGCUAAAACUCAAAGAAAUUGACGGGGGCCCGCACAAGCGGCGGAGCAUGCGGAUUAAUUCGAUGCAACGCGAAGAACCUUACCAAGGCUUGACAUACACCGGAAACUUCCAGAGAUGGUUGCCCCGCAAGGUCGGUGUACAGGUGGUGCAUGGUUGUCGUCAGCUCGUGUCGUGAGAUGUUGGGUUAAGUCCCGCAACGAGCGCAACCCUCGUCCUAUGUUGCCAGCGGGUCAUGCCGGGGACUCAUAGGAGACUGCUGGGGUCAACUCGGAGGAAGGUGGGGAUGACGUCAAAUCAUCAUGCCCCUUAUGUCUUGGGCUUCACGCAUGCUACAAUGGCCGGUACAAAGGGCUGCGAUACCGCGAGGUGGAGCGAAUCCCAAAAAGCCGGUCUCAGUUCGGAUUGGGGU
rnacentral:rRNA from 1 species